rnacentral:rRNA from 1 species
GACGGAGGAGGCAAGCGUUAUCCGGAAUUAUUGGGCGUAAAGCGUCCGUAGGUGGUUAUUCAAGUCUUUUGUUAAAUAGUGGAGCUCAACUCCAUAGAGGCGGAAGAAACUGAGUAACUUGAGUGCGGUAGGGGUAGGGGGAAUUCCAGGUGUAGCGGUGAAAUGCGUAGAUAUCUGGAAGAACACCAGUGGCGAAGGCGCUCUACUGGGCCGUAACUGACACUGAGGGACGAAAGCUAGGGGAGCGAAAGGG